NAGACCUCAGGUCAGGCGGGGCUAC
rnacentral:rRNA from 1 species